AAGGAUCAUUCAUAAUAAGUGUUUUAUGGCACUUUUUAAAUCCAUAUCCACCUUGUGUGCAAUGUCGGCCGAUCUUUCUUUUUUGGAAGAUCAGCCAAACAUCAACUUAUUUUUUUAACUCUUUGUCUGAAAAAUAUUAUGAAUAAACAAUUCAAAAUACAACUUUCAACAACGGAUCUCUUGGCUCUCGCAUCGAUGAAGAACGCAGCGUAGCCAGCACCGAUGUGGAAGUAAAAGUCGUAACAAG
rnacentral:misc_RNA from 1 species